rnacentral:rRNA from 1 species
UACGGAGGGUGCGAGCGUUGUCCGGAAUCAUUGGGCGUAAAGGGCGCGUAGGUGGCCUGGCAAGCGUGCGGUGAAAGCUCGGGGCUCAACCCCGAGUCGGCCGUGCGAACUGCUAUGGCUCGAGCACUGUAGAGGCAGGCGGAAUUCCGGGUGUAGCGGUGGAAUGCGUAGAGAUCGGGAAGAACAUCGGUGGCGAAGGCGCUCUACUGGACCACAACUGACACUCAGGGACGAAAGCUAGGGGAGCGAAUGGG